UGCCCGGCUCACGCUCCCCACCGUCGCUGCUGCAGCUGCUGCUGCUGCUGGCCGCGCUGCUGCAGCCGGUGCUGUCGGCCGCCGCUCAGGCCCCGGCAGACCCAGGUGAAGACGCAGAUGACGCCUGCAUUCCGGCCAUUGCGAACGGCUGCUUCGACGAGGUCGUCAAGGACCUGGCCUGCCAGAACAUCCCACAGGCUGCGAGGCCUGCCACCUGCUCGGACCGAGACGCCCUCGAUACGUGCUUUGCUCUAGACGACGCCCUCAACUGUACGUCAGACAUCAUCGAUGGCGAUUGCAGCGCCGCCGACGGCCGAUUGGUGUACGACGGCUGGCUGAGCGGCCUACGUGCCGUGCAGAGACAUCUAUGUGCUGAUGGCGCAGCCAACA